rnacentral:tRNA from 1 species
GGAUCAAUGUUUAAUCGGCUAAUGGGGAUAAACUGUAAAUUUGUUGGCAGCAUGUCUAUGCUGGUUCAAAUCUAGCUCGAUCCA